rnacentral:lncRNA from 12 species
GUAAAAGUCCUGUAUAACUCUGAUCAUGAGAGUCAGCCUUGAUAGCCAGGAAUCAGAAUGCCACAUUGCAAAUGAUGUUACAAUUAUUUUUUCUGUUCAGCUUUCUGAUCAAACACUUGGAAGCAUCACCAGUUUGUCUUGGUAACAGCUCUGCCACAUGGGAGAAGUCACCUUAUCAAUAUCAAGGAAGGCAAUCAAGCUUACCAAAGAUCAUAAGCAAGCUGCUGUGGAGUUCAAAGAGUCUGACAUCAGAGAGGGUUGUGCUGGAGCCAACAAGACUGGUGGCUGUUAUACCAUGGACGUGACCACACAUGUGGC